UGCUGCACCUACUUUGCAGCUUUUGGCAUUUCCCAUAAAAACUUGACAAGACCACACAAACACCACAAAGAGGGUAGUGAAUCAGUGGUAUCCUUUACUUUUAUGAAUUUCUUUGUUAAACAAGUCUCACCUCGAUCUCUUUUAGUGAAUCAGUGGUACACUGUAAACUCACUCUUGAGUCUCUUCUAGGUUGUCUAAUAUAUUCGGAUCUGGUAGCGAAGAACACAAAACAAAUGGAUUGUAAACGGAAUUACCGUUUAGUAUGGAAAACCUGGUGGAAAAAUAAUGAUCAUCAUCUUUGCAAUGUCCACAGGAACCAUUCAUGUGUGUCCUCCGAAAGAGCAGAUCUGGUUUUCACUAUGUACCUCCUAAUAUGAAUGUUUGUAUUAUUGGGCGGAAUGAAGGUAUCUUCUUAAUGUUGAGUUAUAGAAGAACAGAAUUCAAGUUCCUGCCGCGAAAUUGCAUUCAACAAUUUCCCCUCAAUUGUAAAGGGUCGUACAAUGAUGGAUGCAAUUGGAUCAUUGGAGGGCUUCUUUUUUUUGAGUACAGCUUUAAUAUGAAGUCAGAAAACCAACAUAUGACCGACCAACUGCAGCGCCAACUACAAGACGAAGAUAAGGUACUAGCAGAGGUGGUGGAGGAGGAAGGAAAAGUGUGAGAUAGUGAGGCGGAGGAGAUGGGUGUCCGUCAAAGAGAUGAUAAAAAUCUCAAUAGAGUCAGGACAACUUAGAAGAUCUAUAUUACAGAUGAAGUUUCAGAAGCCAUCUACUCAUACGGUAUGAAUUGGGGAAGAAGGCAUUCCCAGCCUGAUGCCUCGGUUCAGGUGAAUCAGAGUUUGAGGGCAGAAGAAAUUCUUUUGGAAGGUAGCUUAAGAAAUUCCUCAAUCUUUACUGUUAUAGGGAUCAGAGUGUGAGGGCUUUUCUGUUGGUUCAAAAUGGGAAGCAUCCAGCAUCCUUGUUAUACGGUGAAGUUCACUUUCCAUUGAUUUCAAUCUCCUCCCUAAAUUUUUUGCUGUCAUUUUCAGCAUUUCAAUCUCCUCCCUAAAUUUUUAGCAACCUGGUAAUGUAACAGACGUAAUGUAAAAUACUUGUCAAUGUACAUAUAACGGUUGUACAUGCAUCCACUUCUACUAGUAGAAGUGGAUUCAUAUCUAAGGUGUCUAAUCUGAAAUUACUUCAUAGGGACAUGUAAAAUUUGGGAAAAUUUCAUUAAGGAAUUAUGGGGGUUUUAUCCUGAACUGGCAAUACUAAGGUAGGGUAGUCGUAUUUAAUAGUGACUUGGGAAAUGAUGACACCAAAUAUGUUAGUAUGAUCCCUUCCUAAUAUGUUGCAGUAGUAGUCAAAAUAUGGACUCUACGUCUUUGUAUUUGCUUUCUUACAGGUAUCCUGGUUGGGCUAAUCAUUUGGGAGAUAUAGGGUAAUCGUUUGGGAGAUAUAUGGUCGAAGACGCACCAUGUUGCCACUAAUGUGCAAGUGCUGUGCAUUUUAUACAGACGCAUCAUAUAAAAUAU